UAUUUUAUAUAACACCUUUUCAUUGGUUAACAUUGUAAAAUAGCUUUUAUAAAAAGCCCCAGGGCAAGAAUUUAGGCAUUAUAGUACUCAGUAGAACCAAAACGUUAAGAAUGAAGUUGACACUCGUUUCUCUUGUCAUCACCAUUUUGUGGUGUGCCAAUACCAACGCUAGUCCAGCCUCUGAAUUUGUUGGCACUGUUGCAUGGAUAGGCGGGAAAAACAUGGAAAAUGUAAACGAGGAAAUAGGCCAGUGCGCAAUGGGUGAAUACUCUGAGGACGAGAAAGAAAAGGACACACAGGUUGGCGAGUGCGUGACGACAAUUGGUGACUAUCUGUGUCCAAGGGACUGUUGCAGUGCUGAAGUUCGCAAGGCUUUAAUUGGCAUUGGCAAGUUCUAUGUUUACUUACAUAUGCAUUGCCCCGAUAUGGAAGUAUCUUGUCGCAAAACACUUAUCGAUUUAGCUUGCAUGAAAGAAGAAAACCCCGACGUAUGCAAGUGGUAUUUGAAUGAUGCAGAUAAGCCAGCCGAGCGAUCUUGGAAUAAACGAGGGGAAUCUGGAUCAGUUCCACCAGCUCCAAAGGUUCCAAAUCUUCCAAACUUACCCAAAAUUGGUGAGGCAUUGAGAACCAGCCAACGAAGUGUUUCCAAGUUGGAUUUCAUUAGAGAAAAAAACUUCUUGAAAAAAUUGCUUAACAGUAGAAAUUAACUUUUGUUUGAAAUUUAUCGACAGCUGACCGUGACGACCGAUGAACAUAAAAAGGACUACCCAUUAUCAUUAUGAUGAAAAAUGCAUUUAAUCAGAGCAUUGGAACGUUGUUUAAUAAGUUAAUUCAGAAUUAAAAAUGUUUUAAUAUUUA